ACAGUCUAUUAUUGUGAAAUCGAUAUUAGCCGAGUUCAGUGUUUUGUGUCUUUAAACUGUGUUUUUUAUUUAAUUUCAAUAAAAAUUUCAAAGCAGUGUAUAAUAUGCCGACAAUUACAGGAAAAGAGCCAAAUAUGUACUACUUCUUUUCACAAAAUACCAUAAGAUCCUGCGAUACGAGCAGUGUGGCUAGAAAAUUUAGUCAUAUCUGAAUAUGAUUUAUCAAAGGAUAAUUAUGUCUGUUCGAAGCAUUUCCGUGCUACAGAUAUUAAGGUAACAGUAACUGGAAAACGAUGUCUCACACAUGGAGCUGUCCCUAUUAAUACAACAUUUGGAAGCAGUGUUGAUGAAAAGGUUGUGCCGUCUCAAAGGUUCCCCCUUCGAGAAAUUGCCAGUGAAGGGAGCUGUCGAUGCUAUGAGCUCAAAAUUCAGUUUAUUUUUGUUGUGUGCAUUUAAAACGUGCUUGGAACAUGUUUAUUUUCCCAUACAAUUAAAUGUUGUUCAAUGUAAUUUCAUUUUUCCGUUACUUUUAGUACAAAUAUGUUUUGUUUUCUUUGCAUUCUUUAUA